rnacentral:rRNA from 1 species
CCUACGGGCGGCAGCAGUGGGGGAUAUUGCACAAUGGGGGGAACCCUGAUGCAGCGACGCCGCGUGGGUGAAGGAGCGUUUCGGCGCGUAAAGCCCUAUCGGCAGGGAAGAAGGAGGACGGUACCUGACUAAGAAGCCCCGGCUAACUACGUGACAGCAGCCGCGGUAAUACGUAGGGGGCAAGCGGUAUCCGGGUUUACUGGGGGUAAAGGGGGCGCAGACGGCAGCGCAAGCCAGGGGUGAAAGCCCGGGGCACAAACCCGGGACCGCUCUUGGAACUGGGCGGCUGGAGAGCAGGAGGGGCAGGCGGAAUGCCUGGUGUAGCGGUGAAAUGCGUAGAUAUCAGGAGGAACACCGGUGGCGAAGGCGGCCUGCUGG